rnacentral:rRNA from 1 species
AGAGUUUGAUCCUGGCUCAGAACGAACGCUGGCGGCAGGCCUAACACAUGCAAGUCGAACGAUGCCUUCGGGCAUAGUGGCGCACGGGUGAGUAACACGUGGGAACAUACCUUUUGGUGGGGGAUAACUUCGGGAAACUGAAGCUAAUACCGCAUACGCCCCUUGGGGGAAAGAUUUAUCGCCGAAAGAUUGGCCCGCGUCCGAUUAGCUAGUUGGUGAGGUAAUGGCUCACCAAGGCUCCGAUCGGUAGCUGGUCUGAGAGGAUGACCAGCCACACUGGGACUGAGACACGGCCCAGACUCCUACGGGAGGCAGCAGUGGGGAAUAUUGGACAAUGGGCGCAAGCCUGAUCCAGCCAUGCCGCGUGAGUGAUGAAGGCCUUAGGGUUGUAAAGCUCUUCACCCACGACGAUGAUGACGGAGUGAGAGAGCCC